rnacentral:rRNA from 1 species
GACGAAGGAUGCAAGCGUUAUCCGGAUUCAUUGGGUUUAAAGGGUGCGUAGGCGGACUUGUAAGUCAGUGGUGAAAUCUCUUCGCUUAACGAAGAAACUGCCAUUGAUACUGCAGGUCUAGAGUAUAGAUGACGUUUGGCGGAAUAUGACAUGUAGUGGUGAAAUACUUAGAUAUGUCAUAGAACACCGAUUGCGAAGGCAGCUAACGAAACUAUAACUGACGCUGAGGCACGAAAGUGCGGGGAUCAAACAGG